rnacentral:rRNA from 1 species
UACGUAGGUGGCGAGCGUUGUCCGGAUUUACUGGGCGUAAAGCGCGCGCAGGCGGGCUGGUCAGUCCGGGGUGAAAUCUCACGGCUCAACCGUGAGCGGUCCCCGGAUACUGCCAGUCUUGAGGUGUCUAGAGGAGAGCGGAAUUCCCGGUGUAGUGGUGGAAUGCGCAGAUAUCAGGAGGAACACCAAUGGCGAAGGCAGCUCGCUGGGACGGUAUUGACGCUGAGACGCGAAAGCGUGGUGAGCAAACAGG